UACGGAGGGUGCAAGCGUUAUCCGGAUUCACUGGGUUUAAAGGGUGCGUAGGAGGGCAGGUAAGUCAGUGGUCGAAAUCCCCGAGCUUAACUUGGGAACUGCCGUUGAUACUAUCUGUCUUGAAUAUUGUGGAGGUGAGCGGAAUAUGUCAUGUAGCGGUGAAAUGCUUAGAUAUGACAUAGAACACCAAUUGCGAAGGCAGCUCGCUACACAUAUAUUGACUCUGAGGCACGAAAGCGUGGGGAUCAAACAGG
rnacentral:rRNA from 1 species